UACGGGGGGGGCAAGCGUUGUUCGGAAUUACUGGGCGUAAAGGGCUCGUAGGUGGCCAACUAAGUCAGACGUGAAAUCCCUCGGCUUAACCGGGGAACUGCGUCUGAUACUGGAUGGCUUGAGUUUGGGAGAGGGACGCGGAAUUCCAGGUGUAGCGGUGAAAUGCGUAGAUAUCUGGAGGAACACCGGUGGCGAAGGCGGCAUCCUGGACCGAUACUGACGCUGAGGAGCGAAAGCCAGGGGAGCAAACGGG
rnacentral:rRNA from 1 species